rnacentral:lncRNA from 10 species
GAACAUUGGCUGGGCACGGUGGCUCACACCUGUAAUCCCAGCACUUUGGGAGGCCGAGGUGGCUGGAUCAUUUGAGGUCAGGAGUUUGAGACCAGCCUGGCCAACAUGGUUUCAUGGCAUGAUAUGGCUCAAUCCACAGACAAAGGCUGCUGAGCCCAGAACAGCUUAUUGGACGAGCCCCUAUGAGAAGCAGAAAUGUAUAGAAGCAAACUGAACCCAAGGAAAGAUUGGUGAUACUUUGGGAGGGAUGACAGAGGAAGGGGAAACACACUGUCCAUCCCUGUCCCAGCAAGGAGCCAGCUCCCAUUCGGCAGUCCCUCUGAACAUCUAGGUAGCUUCCCCCUUCUUUCUGUCCAGUUGUGAGCAGCCACCAACUAUGAUGCCCCUCUUCCAGCAGGCUUUGCUUUCACAUCACAAAGCAUCAUCCUGAGAAACAAUUACAGUUCUUUUUAGAGUUCUGGUUCCUUCAUAGGUACCUAUUGUCCUAAUAAAUGGAAUUCCUU